rnacentral:rRNA from 1 species
GACGUAGGGCGCGAGCGUUGUCCGGAUUUAUUGGGCGUAAAGAGCUCGUAGGCGGCUUGUCGCGUCGACUGUGAAAUCCCGCGGCUCAACUGCGGGUCUGCAGUCGAUACGGGCAGGCUAGAGUUCGGUAGGGGAGACUGGAAUUCCUGGUGUAGUGGUGGAAUGCGUAGAGAUCGGGAGGAACACCGGUGGCGAAGGCGGCUCACUGGGCCGGUCCUGACGCUCAGGCGCGAAAGCGUGGGGAGCGAUCCGG